ACCUGGGUGGCUCAGUUGGUUGAGCAUCUGACUUCGGCUCAGGUCAUGAUGUCACAGCUCGUGAGUUCGAGCCCCGGGUU
rnacentral:tRNA from 1 species